AGUAAUGAAGUAAAAUUACAUUUAGUUUCGACCUAAAAUAAGAGAAUUAUCUCCUUACUU
rnacentral:tRNA from 1 species